rnacentral:lncRNA from 10 species
GCCCUGGGUAGCUCACUUGAGCUAUGUGACCUUCAUUAUCUUCAUCUGUAAACAGAGGAUGAUAAAACCUGCCCUGCCUACCUCUUAGGAAUGUGGCACAAAGCAAAUGACAACGCGGAUUAGAAUGCCCCGCAGACUCUGAAGUAAAUGACCGAGAGGAUGGAAUGGAUAAUCCAGGAGGAUUGGAGAUGGCAGCUCUGCAGGACAAAGCCCCCACUCCCUCAUGUGGUCCCUCUUCUUUCUGCUAAAUGCAGAAGACUCCAAUGUCCCAGAGGAAAGUAGAACCACAAGACCAAAGAGCCUGGAUCCCUGAAUCACCACAUGGAAGACCUGUCCACCAAUGGGGAGUUAUUGCAUGCAUGAGAAAUAAAGUUUGUUGUAAAGCCAUGGAGAUUUGGAGUUUAUCUGUUACAGCAAUUGGUAUUACCCUAACUUAUAACCAAGUAGGAGUGGGAGAUAAAGUAUGCCAG